rnacentral:rRNA from 1 species
AUGAAAAUAUUAUCGUGGAACUACCGGGGUCUUGGGAACGCCCCGACAGUGCGUGCCCUGCUAGAUGUCCAGCGAAGAUGUUCCCCUGACAUGGUGUUUUUGUCGGAGACCCACCUUGACAGCUAUCCGGCAGAAUGUUUAAGGAGGAGGAUGAAGAUGGACCAGAAACUUGUGUGCACGAGUAAAGGUAGAAGUGGUGGUUUAGUUCUUUUUUGGAAUAAUCAUAUCAAUGUACGUAGGCUUGCUCUAGAUGCUAUGUUCAUUGAUGUAAUAAUUGAGGAUAAUAAUAAUAAUCUGGUUUGGAGUUUGAUGGGGAUGUAUGGUGAGUUUAGAUGGGCGAAUAAGCAUCUCACCUGGUCACGUAUGAGGCAACUUCACCAGAGUCGAAAUUUGUCGUGGCUCUUGAUUGGCGACCUCAAUGAAAUGCAGUUUCUUCAUGAGAAGGAGGGAGGAACCCACGUCCGACACAAUAUAUGCAGGCUUUCCAAGAAGCAAUUGAUGACUGUGGAUUACAUGAUAUGCGCUUCCUCGGAGACCUGUUCACAUGGAGAUGUUGAAGAAUAA